AUGUAAGAGGAACAUUAUAUAUUUCAAAAAGUUUUCAAAAUGUGCCAACACACAAGAGAGAGGAUGCAUCACCAUUCAUCUUCCAGAGAAAAGAAGUUGUUGCCAUUCCAUCAUUCCCCUUUUUAUAAGGAGCUGCAGAUUUUUCAAAUGUUUCCUCUCCUUUCCACUGAGCUGAAUGUUUUUUUCUUGGUGUCUUCAUUUUUUAAGCCUGUUCCUGGGGUUAUUUGGGAAGCUUAUUCAGAAAACUGAAUUGGAUAGACUGCAUCAGCUCUAGGUUAUUAAUAACCAAAUUCAAUCUAUUCAGUUGACCAAAAACUGAUUUGUAACCUUUUUGGUACUAAUGUUGGAGAGUGGUCCCUGGUUAAGUGGUCCCUGGUCAAAGUGGUCCCUCAUCAAAGUGAUCCCUAUGGAAUCAUAGAAUCACAGAGUUGGAAGAGACCUCAUGGGCCAUUCAGUCCAGCCCCCUGCCAAGAAGCAGGAAAUCGCAUUCAAAGCACUCCCAAGAGAUGGCCAUCCAGCCUCUGCUUAAAAGCCUCCAAAGAAGGAGCCUCCACCACACUCCGGGGCAGCAGAGAGUUCCACUGCUAAACAGCUCUCACAGUUAGGAAGUUCUUCCUAAUGUUCAGGUGGAAUCUUUAAACUUUCCUGUAGUUUAAAGCCAUUGUUCUGCAUCCAGAGCCGGCCCUAGGUAUUUUUCAAGUGUAGGUGAACAGAAUUUUGGCGCCCCCCCAAACCAAU
rnacentral:lncRNA from 11 species